UUGAAGGUGAUACUAAGGUCACGCUCCGC
rnacentral:sRNA from 1 species